CAAUAGCGUAUAUUAAAGUUGUUGCAGUUAAAAAGCUCGUAGUUGGAUUUCUGGGAGGGUGCCAAUGUCCGCCGUCGUGCGUGCGCAGCGGCGCCCUUCCAUCCUUCUGUUAACGCCUCUUGGCAUUCAUUUGCUGGUGGCGGGCUCAGAUAUUUUACCUUGAGAAAAUUAGAGUGUUUCAGGCAGGCUAGGCCGGAAUACAUUAGCAUGGAAUAAUGGAAUAGGACUACGGUCUCGUUGUUGGUUUGAGGGACUGCAGUAAUGAUUAAUAGGGAUAGUUGGGGGCAUUAGUAUUUAAUUGUCAGAGGUGGAAUUCUCGGAUUUGUUAAAGACUAACUUAUGCGAAANCANNNGCCAAGGAUGUUUUCAUNAA
rnacentral:rRNA from 1 species